ACGCUGGCGGCAGGCCUAACACAUGCAAGUCGAGCGGUAGAGAGAAGCUUGCUUCUCUUGAGAGCGGCGGACGGGUGAGUAAUGCCUAGGAAUCUGCCUGGUAGUGGGGGAUAACGUUCGGAAACGGACGCUAAUACCGCAUACGUCCUACGGGAGAAAGCAGGGGACCUUCGGGCCUUGCGCUAUCAGAUGAGCCUAGGUCGGAUUAGCUAGUUGGUGGGGUAAUGGCUCACCAAGGCGACGAUCCGUAACUGGUCUGAGAGGAUGAUCAGUCACACUGGAACUGAGACACGGUCCAGACUCCUACGGGAGGCAGCAGUGGGGAAUAUUGGACAAUGGGCGAAAGCCUGAUCCAGCCAUGCCGCGUGUGUGAAGAAGGUCUUCGGAUUGUAAAGCACUUUAAGUUGGGAGGAAGGGUUGUAGAUUAAUACUCUGCAAUUUUGACGUUACCGACAGAAUAAGCACCGGCUAACUCUGUGCCAGCAGCCGCGGUAAUACAGAGGGUGCAAGCGUUAAUCGGAAUUACUGGGCGUAAGGCGCGCGUAGGUGGUUAGUUAAGUUGGAUGUGAAAUCCCCGGGCUCAACCUGGGAACUGCAUUCAAAACUGACUGACUAGAGUAUGGUAGAGGGUGGUGGAAUUUCCUGUGUAGCGGUGAAAUGCGUAGAUAUAGGAAGGAACACCAGUGGCGAAGGCGACCACCUGGACUGAUACUGACACUGAGGUGCGAAAGCGUGGGGAGCAAAC
rnacentral:rRNA from 1 species